rnacentral:rRNA from 1 species
AUGUCAGCCGCCGCGGUAAAACGUAGGUCCCGAGCGUUACCCGGAAUUACUGGGCGUAAAGGGGGCGUAGGCGGUGAUACAAGUCAUCUGUGAAAACCUAUUGCUCAACGAUAGGCUAGCGGAUGAAACUGAAUUACUUGAGGGCACCAGAGGUAGACGGAAUUACCCGAGUAGAGGUGAAAUCCGCAGAUACGGGUAGGAACGCCGGUGGAGAAGUCGGUCUACUGGGGUGCACCAGACGCUGAGGCCCGAAAGCUAGGGGAGCAAACCGGAUUAGAUACCCGGGUAGUCCUAGCCGUAAACGAUGCUCACUAGGUGUAGGGAGUGACAAACUCUCUGUGCUGAAGCAAACGCGCUAAGUGAGCCGCCUGGGGAGUACGUCCGCAAGGAUGAAACUCAAAGGAAUUGGCGG